rnacentral:rRNA from 1 species
GACGAACGCUGGCGGCACGCUUAACACAUGCAAGUCGAACGGAGAUAAUUUGAGUUUACUUAGAUUAUCUUAGUGGCGGACGGGUGAGUAACACGUGAGCAACCUACCUUUGAGAGAGGGAUAGCUUCUGGAAACGGAUGGUAAUACCUCAUAACGUAGUUUUACCGCAUGAUAGGACUACCAAAGAUUUAUCACUCAAAGAUGGGCUCGCGUCUGAUUAGCUAGAUGGUGAGGUAACGGCUCACCAUGGCGACGAUCAGUAGCCGGACUGAGAGGUUGAACGGCCACAUUGGGACUGAGACACGGCCCAGACUCCUACGGGAGGCAGCAGUGGGGAAUAUUGCACAAUGGGGGAAACCCUGAUGCAGCGAUGCCGCGUGGAGGAAGAAGGUUUUCGGAUUGUAAACUCCUGUCUUAAAGGACGAUAAUGACGGUACUUUAGGAGGAAGCUCCGGCUAACUACGUGCCAGCAGCCGCGGUAAUCUAGUCCUACG